CAAUAGCGUAUAUUAAAGUUGUUGCGGUUAAAAAGCUCGUAGUUGGAUUUGUGGGCGGGGUGGCGGGCCGGCACGCUUCGUGCGUUGCCGUGCAUUUCGCGAAGCCCUGAGCCCAGAUUCACGUGGGGCCGUGUUGCCAUUCGUUUGGCGGCGCGGGUCAUUCCACGUGUCGUUUACUGUGAAAAAAUUAGAGUGUUCAAAGCAGGCGUGUUGGCCGUGAAUACAUUAGCAUGGAAUAAUAAGAUAGGACUUUGGUGCUAUUUUGUUGGUUUGUGUGCCGAGGUAAUGGUUAACAGGGACAGUUGUGGGUAUUCAUAUUUGAUUGUCAGAGGUGAAAUUCUUGGAUUUAUCAAAGAUGAACGAGUGCGAAAGCAUUUACCAGGGAUGUUUUCAUUAAC
rnacentral:rRNA from 1 species